AGGAGGUCUGGAAUCUUGAGAAGCCAGAAGAUUCUGACUGAGAUUUCAGUUAGGUCUCUCAGUCUUGGGAAGCCUAGGAGAGAGGGUUGGCCAAGACUUUCUCCUGAAGAGAUAUUCACCUUUUCCUGUUUUGGUGACAGGACAUCCUCCCUCCCUCCCAACCCCCAAUUCCCAACUGAAGUUAUAGCUGAAGAAGACAUUGAGCCUCUGUCAAACUUAUCUCACAGCUCCUGGUACCCUAGGUCUGAACUGUUCCAGUUGGGUCAAGAUCAGGAUCUGCUUGUUUCCCAUUUUGAAGGAUAUGGAGGUGAUCUAAAGCUUUCCACAGAAGGAGACCUUAGAAGAACACAGAUUUCACCUUGUGACAUUUUUAAGAAGCAUGAACUCUUCUUUGAUUGUUUGAGGAACACAUCAGCUUGGCUGGCUGACCAGUAAGGCUAAAUAUGCCCCAUGUUCUUCCUCUGAAUGUGGAUAGCAUUCUUUGAGAAUCAUUUAUUAUAUAGAGGUGCAAAUUGAAUUCAUGGAACCUGAUGAGACAUCUCUUAAAAGGUAUUAAGACCAGGCUUGGUUGGCUUAGGAGUAUAAAAUCAAAAUGUUGAGAUGAAUUCCUCAGAACCUCAAAAUGAAAGAGCCACACGGAACUUCAGAUCUACAUUCUAUGUUUAACUGGUUCAUCACAAAGAGCAACAGGACAAGGGAAUCAGCUGAAUCAGCCUGAAGUGUCCUUCCUGCCUAUCCUUUGGAAUAUUCUUCUCCUGAUGAUGGCUAAGGAAAUCUUUUUGUUAGUUGUUAAAUGAUAUAAAAGUGUUUCAUUUUGUUUCCA
rnacentral:lncRNA from 1 species